UACGUAGGGUGCAAGCGUUGUCCGGAAUUAUUGGGCGUAAAGAGCUCGUAGGCGGUUUGUUGCGUCGGCUGUGAAAUCCCGAGGCUCAACCUCGGGUCUGCAGUCGAUACGAGCAAACUAGAGUGUUGCAGGGGAGACUGGAAUUCCUGGUGUAGCGGUGAAAUGCGCAGAUAUCAGGAGGAACACCGGUGGCGAAAGGCGGGGUCUCUGGGCAACAACUGACGCUGGAGGAGCGAAAAGCGUGGGGGAGCGAACAGG
rnacentral:rRNA from 1 species